rnacentral:rRNA from 1 species
AGAGUUUGAUCCUGGCUCAGAAUCAACGCUGGCGGCGUGCCUCAGACAGGCAAGUCGAACGCGAAAGCCCCCUUCGGGGGGCAAGUAGAGUGGCGCACGGGUGAGUAACACGUAGGUAAUCUACCUUUGGAUGGGGAAUAACCACCGGAAACGGUGGCUAAUACCGCAUAAUGCAGCGGCACCUAAUGGUGACAGUUGUUAAAGCGGGGGAUCGCAAGACCUCGCGUCUGAAGAGGAGCCUGCGGCAGAUUAGCUAGUUGGUGGGGUAAUGGCCCACCAAGGCGACGAUCGGUAGCCGGCCUGAGAGGGCGGUCGGCCACACUGACACUGACAUACGGGUCAGACUCCUACGGGAGGCAGCAGUCGGGAAUUUUGGGCAAUGGGCGAAAGCCUGACCCAGCAACGCCGCGUGAAGGAUGAAAUCCCUCGGGAUGUAAACUUCGCAAGAACGGGAAGAAUAAGCCGGUGCCAAUAACACCGGCGAUGACGGUACUGUUUGUAAGCUCCGGCUAACUCCGUGCCAGCAGCCGCGGUAAUACGGGGGGAGCAAGCGUUGUUCGGAUUUACUGGGCGUAAAGGGCGCGUAGGCGGCCACCGCAAGUCGACUGUGAAAUCUCCGGGCUUAACUCGGAAAGGUCAGCCGAUACUGCGGGGCUAGAGUGCAGAAGGGGCAACUGGAAUUCUCGGUGUAGCGGUGAAAUGCGUAGAUAUCGAGAGGAACACCUGCGGCGAAGGCGGGUUGCUGGGCUGACACUGACGCUGAGGCGCGAAAGCUAGGGGAGCGAACGGGAUUAGAUACCCCAGUAGUCC